UCAGCGCAAAGCAACCUCAGCAAUGUCUAUACAAAUGACCGGCCGUCGGAGCCGAAGGGCCCCUCUGCAGAGCGCGUUGCGUCGGGGCCGAGAGCUGCGGGAACAGGUGGAAACUUUGCUUCAAGAAAGCAAAACAGUGAAGGCUCUGGAUUCUGAAAAAAGGAAAAGCCUUAGUGAGAGAUGUUUGGAGCUGAAGAAAUCUGUGGAUGAAAAUACCUUAACUCUUCAGAACUUAAAGAAAUCAGAUGAGCCUGCACCAGUUGGAAAUUAUAAUCAGAGAAAAGAAGAAGAAGAAAAACAAUUGUUUGAGCUUUCUCAGCAACUGGAAAAACUUGCUGCAGUCCUUAAUCAGGACAGUGUAGUCAAAGACUCUAGCAUGAAUUUGAAAAAGAAUGGCAGCUCAGAGGAACAGCAGAAAAAUGAAGAGACAGAAAAUGAGGAAGGAGAAAGUACCCAAAAUGAUGAUGAUGAUGAAGAAGAGCAAGAUAGCGAGGACGAUGAGGAUGAUGAAGAUGAUGAUGAAAGUAAACUAGAUGGUUCAUUUAAUACAGAAUUCAUCGCUCUUGGUGAUUUUGCUGCACAGCAAGAAGGGGAUUUGACAUUUAAAAAAGAAGAAGUUCUUAUUAUUAUUGAGAAAAAGCCUGAUGGUUGGUGGUUGGCUAAAAAUUCGAAAGGGGAGAAAGGCCUUGUGCCUAAAACCUAUCUUACGGCAAAAGACAAGGAAGAAGAAGAGCCAAGUGAAGAGGAAACAGAGGAGGACAUUGAGGUCGCAGAUGAAACAGCAGGUGGAGCUGAUAUUCUGAAAAGAACAGACUCUCACUGGAGUGCUGUCAAAAAGGCCCUCACAGAGAAUAAUACCUUAGAUGCCCUGACAACUAUGGGAGCAGUGCCUGCUGGAUUUCGACCUUCAACACUUGCACAGCUCUUGGAUGAAGGAAAUCAGUUUCAGGCAUCUUCAUUCCUUCAACCGGUGCUUACACCUUCCAAUCUUUCUUUCCAAGAUCUGGUAUGGAGUCCUGAAAAAGGCAGUAUUCAGCCAAGGCCGACUCGGAUAUCACUAGUUAUGACUUUAUGGAACUGCAAAGGCAUUCCUUUUCCUGGCAUUAGUAUACAGGUCCUCAGUAGACAUAUCCGACUUUGCCUUUUUGAUGGCAACCAAAUUUUGAGCAACAUUCAUACUGUAAGAGUUACAUGGCAACCAAAAAACCCCAAAACAUGGACCUUUUCUCCAAGGGUCAGUGGCAUUUUACCAUGUAUUCUUGAUGGUGAUUGUUUCAUUAGAUCCAAUAAUCCAUCUCCAGACAUUGGACUAUUGUUUGAACUUGGAAUCACUUACCACAAUUCAACAGGUGAGAGAGGAGAAUUAAGUUGUGGCUGGGCAUUUCUAAAACUUUUUGAUUCAAGUGGAUUUCCAAUUCCUUCCAAAACAUAUGAGCUGUUUUUGAAUGGUGGAACUCCGUACGAAAAAAGUGUAGAAGUGGACCCAUCAAUUUCAAGGAGAGCCAGCAGCAAUGUUUUUCAACAUAUGAUAACACUGAGGAAGCAGCCACAACUUCUAGUGAAAUUGAGGUCUAUUAGCACAAGAUCGAAAGGCAUACUGAACCUAUUACCAGAAGUAUUAAUUGGCAGCAUGUGCUAUAUGCAUCUCAUAUUGUUUUAUCGUCAGAUCCUUGGUGACGUACUUCUGAAAGGCAGACCAAAUGUGCAACAUGCAGGUAAGAUUUGCAGCUUUGAAGAACAGAAAAUACAGCAAAUACUUUCAGUUCUCGGGCUUGGAUUGGAGUUGCUUCCAAGUUAAAAAGAUGUCCCAGUGAUAUUUCAUACAGUCUCAUAAAACAUGUUUCUUUUGCUUUCAGUUGGUUAGGGUCCUUUAUUUUUAAUGUUGUAACAUAAAGUCGUGACUGUACUGAUACCUCAGCUAGGUAUUUACAAAAUAUAUUGUGUUUGUUGAAAACUAUGUUUGGUUUUAUUCAUAAUACAGAUUGUGGCUUGGAGCUUUGACUGGAUUGCUUGAAGUGGGUCUUGGCCUCUGGCUGAACUGAAGCCCAGAACUUUUAAAUUGUUCUGGGUUUCCUUUGAAAAAUGCUGGUGUGGUGGUGGCAUCAUGGGUGGGUGUUGUGUCUCAUUUCCACCUUUUUCUCUGCAUAACCUGUGCAGCAACUCACCUGCUUGAUCUGCCCAGUGCCUUGCCACUCUGCUAAAAUUCCAGCACAACAUACCUGGCUGGCCUCUUCAUCCCAUCUCAGUCUUCUUUGCAUCUUUUUUCCUUGUAGCUGCUAUGGAUGACGUUGCAUUUUCCCCAGAGUCAUCCCAUCCCAGAGCACAUUUUUGUUAAGAACAUUAAUGUUUUGAGUCUGUGCUGAACCCAAACAUGUAUUUCAAGUUAGUGCCUGGACCAAAUAUGCAUCUUGCAGUCUGGAUGAGGACCACCCAGUAAUUAUGGUGUUCUGUCUGGAAAUGUCUUUUUUUUCUUUUUUUUCCUGUUUGAAAUCCAUUUUUGGUAUGAUAAUGAUAAUGUAAAAUGAAAUGAAUUUAUUUUUCUUGAACUUUGUUUUUAUAAUAUGGCCCUAUUAAGGUAAGUGUAGUUAGAAAUACUAAGACAAAAAUAAAAACCCCGCCCUUCUUCUAAACUGUAUAACUUGUCUUUCUUGCAUAUGGAUUCAACGUUAAUUAUGCAAUGUGCCAUUUUUGACAGGGGAGGGAUUUGUUUUUGCAGAUUGAGAGUUUCUUUUUAAUUCUAUAGCAACUCUUUUCUUUCAUCAUCUUUUCUUUUUUCAGAACUACAAAUAUGAAAUACUACAUAUGUCAAUAUUGUUCUUAUUUUACCAGUUGCUGUUAUUUUGGUGAACAAACUGGGUUAUAUUACAAUAAAGUCAACUAUAAUGUACCACCAAUUCUUUACAUAGGGUUAGCAUUUGAAUGAUGGGAUGGGUUCUUUUGCUUAAUGCAGGGGUGUCAAAUUGGUGGCCCAUGGUCUGGAUGCAUCACACACAGGCCACGCCCACCCCGGUUCCGCAAAGGCAAAAAAAGUCAUGAUACGUCACAUGAAAUCACAUGACACGAUCAAGUUUAACGCCCAUGGGCUUAAUGGGAGGAUGGGAUGCAUUAACACCUUGUGAAGAAGAAAAACUAUUACAAAUACUGCGUUUUACAGCUAAUUCUGGAAAAUCAAUUAAAUCCAUGAAUAGGUAGAGAUUUAAUCCCAUGUUUUAUUGCCUUUUGUUUUUGCUUAAAAUAAAAUUUCUGAUUCUAACUUCAAAAUGCACUUUUUUAUGUCACCUAAAGUUGCAUAAAGUUACUCUAGAACAGGGGUGUCAAACUGGUGGCCCGUGUGCCAGAUAUGUCAUGCUCAGGCCACAUCCACCCCAGCUCUGUGAAGGGGAAAAAUGUCACAAAACAUCACAUGACAGCAAUGUGACAUGGUAAGUUUGACACCCAUGCCAUAGAACCAACAAAUUAUAUCCAGUGACUGCAGUCUAUGAAUUUAAAUCACUUAUUCAAUUUAUCUGCUUAGCCUAAUAAGAAUUGUCAAUAUUUGCUCUGUUUGUUUUUUAUAUUAUGAGUGGGUGACUUUCUCUUUUUAUUCUCAGUUGUCUUGUAUAUAGUAUGUCUUCAGUUAUGGGUCAAACCUAUCUAAUUUCCAUCCAUCUGUUAUUAAUUUUUUAGAUUUAAUCAGCAACCCAAUUUUGGCAACUUUUCCUAAACUCAUGGAACAGCCUGAUAUUAUGGAUGCACUUAGGAGUUCCUGGGCAGAGAAAGAAAAUACACUGAAGAGAUC